CAGCCGCCACGGUAAUACGUAGGUGGCAAGCGUUGUCCGGAAUUAUUGAGCGUAAAGGGCUCGCAGGCGGUUUCUUAAGUCUGAUGUGAAAGCCCCCGGCUCAACCGGGGAGGGUCAUUGGAAACUGGGAAACUUGAGUGCAGAAGAGGAGAGUGGAAUUCCACGUGUAGCGGUGAAAUGCGUAGAGAUGUGGAGGAACACCAGUGGCGAAGGCGACUCUCUGGUCUGUAACUGACGCUGAGGAGCGAAAGCGUGGGGAGCGAACAGGAUUAGAUACCCGAGUAGUCCCUGUCUCUUAUAA
rnacentral:rRNA from 1 species